UACGUAGGGUGCGAGCGUUGUCCGGAAUUAUUGGGCGUAAAGAGCUUGUAGGCGGUUUGUCGCGUCUGCUGUGAAAAUCCGGGGCUCAACCCCGGACUUGCAGUGGGUACGGGCAGACUAGAGUGUGGUAGGGGAGACUGGAAUUCCUGGUGUAGCGGUGGAAUGCGCAGAUAUCAGGAGGAACACCUAUGGCGAAGGCAGCUCUCUGGGACGGUACUGACGCUGAGACGCGAAAGCGUGGGGAGCGAACAGG
rnacentral:rRNA from 1 species